ACACGACUACAUUAGAUACCCCUGUAGUCCUAGCCGUAAACGAUACUCGCUAGGUGUCGGCCACGGUGCGACCGUUGUCGGUGCCGUAGGGAAGCCGUGAAGCGAGCCACCUGGGAAGUACGGCCGCAAGGCUGAAACUUAAAGGAACUGGCGGGGGAGCACAACAACGGGUGGAGCUUGCGGUUUAAUUGGAUUCAACGCCGGAAAUCUUACCGGGACCGACAGCAACAUGAAGGCCAAGCUGAAGACUUUGCCGGAUUAGCUG
rnacentral:rRNA from 1 species